CGCGGGAGCCGGGCGGACGGGGCUGUCGCCAACCUGGUCAGGUCCGGAAGGAAGCAGCCACAACGAUUCCGUCCCGGGUCGUUCCGGUUCCCACCCCA
rnacentral:SRP_RNA from 1 species